CCUAGAGAGGCCUAUAGGAAUCGCUAUUGGCACGCAGGCGUAAUUAUCGGCAUAAAAGAGACACUGCGAAUUCAAGAAUGAUGCUUGGGGAGCUGAGGUCGCAUGAUUGAUCGUAUGAUUGCCAUGCAGUCGUUGCAUCUAGUAUGAUCUACCACCUAAGGAGGCCUAUAGGAAUCGCUAUCGGCACGCAGCGUAAAUAUCGGCAUAAAGAGACACUGCGAAUUCAAGAAUGAUGCUUGGGAAGCUGAAGU